GAAAGCGUAGUGCGGUGAAAGCCGCCCGCUACGUUUGGAGGGGGGCACUCGAAAAAGGGCUGCUAAAACAGUACCUCGUCGGGUGUCUACCCUAC
rnacentral:ncRNA from 1 species